CUUAUGAGAGGAAAGGGUUUCCUCUCUCAAACCCUAGCACCGCCCCCUUUUUCUCUCUCCACUUUGACAUCGUACAUGCAAGAAAUGGCAAAGAUAAGGACGCAUAGGUGAUACUUGCUUUGUAGGGCUGAGAAUGACAAGAGCAUUAAAUGCUCUACCAUUUCUCAACCAAUACUACAAGGAUUCAACUCAAAACACGUUAAUUGGAGUGUAAAAUUGAAGUCCAAGUCCAAAUCUCUUCCGAGGCUACGCAUACAAGAGGGAUUAUGAAUGACUUACCCAGAGCCAAGAAAGGAGUAACGAGGCUUCGAAUUACAAGUCUGACUCAGCCCAAUCACUUUGAAUCUAGGUUGUUGGGGUUCUUCAUGUGAAAUUACUCACUAUGGGACAUUUUAAGAUUAAUUAAAGGGCUUGUGUAUGCAAAUUAUGUGAGACUUUAGCAAUUUUAUGUAUUAUAAUGAGAGUAUAGCAUGAUAAAUAAAUUGAUAUUUGCCUUUUUA